UACGGAGGGUGCAAGCGUUAAUCGGAAUUACUGGGCGUAAAGCGCACGCAGGUGGCUGAGAAAGUCGAUUGUGAAAGCCCUGGGCUUAACCUGGGAAUUGCAGUCGAAACUACUCGGCUAGAGUAUGGGAGAGGGUAGUGGAAUUCCCGGUGUAGCGGUGAAAUGCGUAGAUAUCAGGAGGAACACCAAUAGCGAAGGCAGCUCGCUGGGACGGUACUGACGCGUAAGGCGCGAAAGCGUGGGGAGCGAACAGG
rnacentral:rRNA from 1 species